AGUCGCGGCCACGCCCAUCGACGUAUUACAGCCCAAAAUCCAGGCCGGCUUUCGAGGCGCGCCACCUGCUAAUCGAUGCGUGUCGGUAACACGCCGUGCGACAGCGGCGAGACAAAUCCGUGGACGCGCUUGCACAAGGGCUUCCCGAGCCGGAACGAAAAGGAGUGCAGAGAGUCUCAUGGGCGUUGCCGCUUUCUCCUCUAUCAUCUCCAUCUUCACAAUACCAGCGACAGCGAUGGCGGCGCGGAUCAUGUGCGGCAUCGCUUUCCCGAAUCGCCCACGACCUCCUCGCCCGUAGCGUACGUCGUGACGAUGCCGAUCGGCUGGGCGUGCAUGGCUGGCGCGCACGACAGCACGAACGACUCGCUCGGGUGUGGAAUCAAGGGCGCGCACAGCUGCGCGGCUGGCUUUGACCUGAUUGUGGCUGCGUGAUGCCUCCAGACGUUGGCGAUCAUCCUUGUGCUCAUCAUACCUACCGAAGAGCGCCGACGCGCUGAAGGCCUCGCGAAGGUGGUGGCUGGGUGAAGUAGGCACGGGGACGCACCCCGCACGCAUGUGCGCGCUUCUACGCAUACACACGCCCAACGGAAGCGAGGGGGAGUGGCGGUGGUGGCUUCAAAACCGACCGACACCUCCAUAGGCACACCGGCAAGCACCAAGACAUGGAGGCUGAGCAGAGGAAGGAAGCAGAUCGCCGCUGAAACAAACGCAUGCUACGGUGCUUAUCGUGCGUAAGCUGCUGGACGUGCGGUGUACGUCGGCGAGGGCGUGCUCUGUAUAUUCGAUCGCAUCAAUCGGGGAGAGCGAGAGAGGGGAGGAGGAGAGAGAUGGCGAGAGCAGCAGGCAGAGGAUGGGCUGCCCGUUUCUCGCGGGGGCUGCACACAUGCGUGUUGGUAUCCUUUUCCGGUUCCUCUUCUCUUGCUUUCAUCGCCGUAUUCGUCUGUUAUCGUGGUUUGCGUGUCCUCCGCGCCCCUCCCUCUCUCUCUCUGUGCCUGUCUCUUCGAAUCCUUCUGUGCCUGCCCUUGAUUCACCGAUCGUGGUGUUCACUUUCUUCGCCUCUCUCCCCCCUCCCUUCUUCCGCCUCCCAUUCCGAUCUGCACCGCUCCCUCGCUGCCAG
rnacentral:misc_RNA from 1 species